rnacentral:rRNA from 1 species
GAGGAAUAAGCAUCGGCUAACUCCGUGCCAGCAGCCGCGGUAAUACGGGGGAUGCAAGCGUUAUCCGGAAUCAUUGGGCGUAAAGCGCCUGUAGGUUGUUUAAUAAGUCUGUUGUUAAAGACUAGGGCUUAACCCUAGAAAAGCAAUGGAAACUACUAGACUAGAGUAUGGCAGGGGUAGAGGGAAUUUCUAGUGUAGCGGUGAAAUGCGUAGAUAUUAGAAAGAACACCGGUGGCGAAAGCGCUCUACUGGACCAUUACUGACACUCAGAGGCGAAAGCUAGGGUAGCAAAAGGGAUUAGAUACCCCUGUAGUCCUAGCCGUAAACGAUGGAUACUACAUGUUGUGCAUUAUGUACAGUAUGGUAGCUAACGCGUUAAGUAUCCCGCCUGGGGAGUACGCUCGCAAGGGUGAAACUCAAAGGAAUUGACGGGGGCCCGCACAAGCGGUGGAGCAUGUGGUUUAAUUCGAUGCAACGCGAAGAACCUUACCAGGACUUGACAUACUACAAAUUCUUUUGAGAAAAAGAAGUGCCUUCGGGAAUGUAGAUACAGGUGGUGCAUGGCUGUCGUCAGCUCGUGUCGUGAGAUGUUGGGUUAAGUCCCGCAACGAGCGCAACCCUUAUUUUUAGUUACCAAUUCGUUGGGUUCUCUAGAAAGACUGCCGGUGACAAACCGGAGGAAGGUGAGGAUGACGUCAAGUCAGCAUGCCCCUUAUGUCCUGGGCUACACACGUGCUACAAUGGUUAAGACAAAGAGUCGCGAGCUCGUGAGAGUCAGCUAAUCUCAUAAACUUAGCCCAAGUUCAGAUUGUAGGCUGCAACUCGCCUACGUGA